UCUCUGGAAGCUGGGGGCAUAGGUAGACAUCUAUAGUGCCUAUGACUGAACCCAGCCAGUGACUCACCGAAUAAGCACAUCAGAAUCUGGCCCCAAAGGAGCUAAGGGCAGGUGGUGGAUGAGACGACUGACCUGCUGGUUAGAGUGGAGCUGACUAGUGGUUGUCUCUGGGGCCACUGUACACCUGUUUUCACAAAAGACAUCUGCUUCUUCUGCAGUCCAACAGGAAUCUUUUUUGAGAUUGAAGAAUAUGAAUGUGUUCAGCUGGUACUGAGAUGUUUGAGUGUGAAGAGAGCCAGGUGUCUUCAGCUGUUAUCAAUAUUCUGUGUGUGUGUGCGCGCACGCUAUAACUGUGACAACUCGGCGUUUGGGGAAUGCAUGCUCUGCCAAAUUUGACAAUACUGUUUGGGAACUGACACAGGAGUAAAUAUUGUAAAAUACUGCAGCAUACAUGCAUAUAUGCAGGAUAUCGUUUUCCUUACUGAUCUGAGUAUGCAGAGACCCAACCCUAGUCCCAUUAGACUGGUCAUGCCCAGCUCAUGGCUCUUUGGGGUCCCACGAGUGGCUGCUCUUUCGAAUCCAUCAGUAU